rnacentral:sRNA from 1 species
AUUUCCAAAUAUAUUAUACUGCAUAAAUUUCCUGGCCGUAUUUUAUAACCCAAAAAAAAAAAAAAUCAAAUUUUAGCCGCCCUGGACCGGAUCCAAAUAUUAUUAUUAGCAGGGGCAGAUUUCGUAUUGUAAAAUUUAAAAUUUUCAAACCGUUAUAAUAGUUGCCGGUGGGGCUAAUUGUUAUUUGCAUCGUACAAUUUUAUUAUCUUAUUAUAUCGUCCAAUGGAAAACGAUGGCGAAACCAUCCACAAUUCCGAAAUAAUACAAUUAAUAAAUUGGGUAUAAUAAAACCAUAGGUACAACUAUUUCCCGAUAAUAAUCGCCACAAACGGUUUAUUUUAUAUCGUUAUAAAAUAGUCGUAACCGAAAAAUUUCAUUUGUUCGGCAACCACCGUUUUAAGAAUACCUGGUGGAAUUAUUAAUAUAUUUUUUACGCAUUUUUAUUAUUAAUAUGCGUCGGGUAUAAUCCCAUCCUGUUUUUUUUGCACGUCGAAAAUAAUUUAUUUGCCGCCAUUUUUUUCCUUUUGGACCUUUUUUAAGAACGUUUAUGGGGUUUUAUAAAACCCAUUUUAAAUACCGUUACAAACGAAAUAUUAAAAAGAAUAACCGACCGUUUAAUAAAACAAUUAAUCCGCAAAUCCGACUCGCUUGCUAUUAUCGGUAAAACCCUGUUAAAAAUUAAAUCGGCUUUUAUUACCUUCGUUAAGGUCCUCGGUCAAACAGGUUUUCCGUUAUACCUAACAGCCUUUUUUUCGGCCGCGCUAACCGGGGUUUUGGGAUUGGGGACGUUUUGCCUUUUUACUCCAAUUGUACAAAAUGCCCAAAAGUUCAAAUUUUCGAGGGAUAACAAUGUGUAAAUAUUAUGUUUUUCGGCAAUUGAAUUUUAAUUUACUUGAUUUUUUUACAAUAAGGGUUUGGCGCCCAAAUUUAUGGAAGACGGAUGGUUUUAUAUAAAAUCCCUGCAAAAACUCGAACAAACGCUGAUUUUAUGGAAAUUGUUUAUUUGUUUCGUGGUUGUUUUUGUUUGGUAUUUUUUGGGUGCAAAAAAAACGGAUAUCGCGAUAUUCGCCAAAUUAGCAUAUUAAAUUAGUUUUGCUAAUAACAAUUUUCAAAAAAUAAGCCAAAUUUACCAAAAAUCCGUUCGCAUUAUAUAAAAAAUAUUAAUUUAGGGCGGUGUUUUUAUAUAUUUUGUUUUUAUAUGCGCGAAUUUUGCGAUUCGCAGGCGUUUGCAGGGAACGGAUAUCGAAAUUUAAUAGGCCAGUAAUUACUAUAUAUUGGAAAUAUUUUAGGCCAAUACCAGCCGUUAAUAAGCAGAAUAAAAUUUCAAUAAUCGAUACAUAUAUAUAUAAUAUCGUAUAUUUAUCGGAACUGCCAAAAAUUGGUAAUAUUAAUCCGUUUUAUACGCAGCUGUUAAAUUUUUUAACCAGGGUUAAUAACCAAAUUUAAAUUCGUUUUAGUUUUUCCACUAUUAGAUAUAUAAAAUAUCCACCCAUUACACUUUUACGUCUCCAUUUUUGCACGCCCUUAUCCACAAACCCUGUUUGCACCGCUAUUGGAAAUAAAAACUACAGGCGGAAAACAUUAGCGUUUUCCAAAAAAUUAUUGGUUGGGAAUAAGGUUAUAAAAAAAAAACCACCAUCCUUUUAAAUAUAUACAGUUCGAUCGUUUGUAAAUGUUCCAGUAAAUAUUUUAACCCAAUAUUACCCUUUCCCUGCCCAUUAUAUAAGCUCAUUUGGGUUAACGUGGGGAUAUAUCCCAAAAAAACCAACCUUAAAGAACACCCUCCUUUUCCAUUUUGCAUAUUGUUGCCGAAAAUAUAUAUAAUUGUACAAUUAAACGUAUAUUUAUCGAUUUGCCGCCCUUAUAAAAGUUUUUCUAUUAUAAUUUAAUUAUUUUGAAACAAUAUUUGUCCUGAAGCGACCGAAUCGCAUACCUUUUGGUUGUAAUUCUUCCUUUCCGUUUGACGGCAUAUUUUGGCUAUUAUAUAUACCUACCAAUAUAUAUAUUGGAUAAAUUUUCGUCCGGUUAUUUACUUUUUUCACCUCCAGGCAAUAUUUCCAUCCGGGAAACCACAAUUAACCAAUAAUACCUUUUACAAAUGGAAUACAACUGCGGUUAUCGGAGGAUUAUUAUUGCGGAAUGGUGUGGCCGGUAUAAAAACACGUUUUAGUUGCAUAUUCGAUAUCGGCCAAAAAUAUUAUAUUAUAUUAAAAACGAUCAAAUUUGCUGUAGGUUACUUAAUUAAUACUUGCUGGUUUUAAUAAACCUUUGUAUUUUGCAACAAUUACUAAUAUAUGCGAGCCAUUUAAACUGAUUUUAGUUUUAUAACCCAUUGCCAUAAACAGUUAAACCCAAGGUUUGUUCCAUGGAUACCCUCGCGCGAGCAAAAUACAAAAAAGUAAAGCUUACCUUUUCCGUUCCUUUUAAUCUAAAUAUAAACCCAGGUUUGUUUACAAUUUGUACGGUUUGUGUAACAAAGGUAUAAUAAUAUAAGAUAGUAAAGAUGAGGAGAUUUUAAUAAAUAAUAUAAUAUUAUAAUAUAUUUGUACCAACGAGCGCCCCAUUUGCAAAAUACGGUUGGAAAGGAGCCCUACUUACGGCAUAUUAUACGCACCAUAACGUGGAUAUACAAUAUGUGGGCCAGGACAGUAUAUGGGCCAGGACAGUAUAUGGGCCAAUAUUAAGAAAUAUAUACGGCGUUAACUCAAAUGUUAACAUAUGGAAAUAAAACGGGAAUUGGCUAUUAGCAUUUCAAUUAACGUCGCAUAUAGUUUUUAAUAUGGCCCACAUAUUGUACAUCUACGUUAUUAUUAGUUAUAUUCUUUCAAAACUGGAGGUGGUUUCGUCAACGUCUUCCGCGAAACGACGUAAUCGGAUAAUAAGCUACGCGAUACAGAUGGCGUUCCGGCAACGAUCCCCAACCUCAAUUACCAUGCCAGCUUGAAAGUUUUAAACUUAGAGAAACACGAAAUUUACCAUUGCGGACAUUAAUCCGGUGCACGGCGGCAGCCAAAAUUGGAUCUUAACCAUUUGGGUCGCGGAAUGCGACCAUGGUGGGAUAGGUGCCAAAAAUAUCGACGCAUCGUAAUAUGGUGGGAAAGAUGCCGGCUUACCAGGCAUACCACAUCCGAAUAGCUCGGAAACUGCAACUCAGUUUAUCAAACCCGGUGUAAUUACAUCAUUUUUGUUGCGUGCGGUAGGAUAAUUGUACAAAUCGGGGCAACGCACUGGGUUUAAUUAGUAGUUGAUUAACUUACUAACAUAUCGCACAAAAAUAGAUUUGUCGACCUAAUACCCCAUAUUUGGGCUUCCAAUUUUCAAAUUUUGGCUAAUAACCGUAUAAUAUGUUUGCUGUUGGGCCAAUUUUGUUAAUAAAGUGGAUUUAAUUAACCGUAGUUUCGCAAAUUUCCCAAUAUAUACCCACCCGAAAUGCGGGGGUGGCCGGAAUAUAGGGGUAAUAAUUUAACAAUAAUAAUUGCGGAAUAAAAGGGUGGCGGUUUCAUUUUUUUAGAAAUUUUUAUAAUUCCACGCAGCAUUUGAAAAUAUUUGCAACCCCACGCACUUUUUCAAAAUAUUUGCAGCUUUACGCACCUUUUCGAAAUAUUUGCAACCUUAUGCAUUUUUUUAAAAUAUUUGCAACCCUACGUAUUUUUUCAAAAUAUUUGCAACCCCACGUUUUUUUUCCCAAUAUUUGCAGCCCCACGUUCCUUUUCCCAAUAUUUGCAGUCCCACGCAUCUUUUCAAAAUAUUUGCAGCCCCACGCUUUUUUUUAAAAUCUUUAAUUACAAUUCCACGUUUAUUUUCAAAAUUUCUACAAUUCCACGUUUUUUUUCAAAAUAUUUGCAGCCCCACGCAAUUUUUUUCCAUUUUUUGCAAUAUUAUAUUUUUUGGUAUUUCCUGUAGUUAAUAAUAAUAUGCAAUAUAAUAAAUUUGUGGACGAAUUGGAAAUGCAAUUGCAAAACGCGAUUAGAAAUGUGGCGUUAAUAAAAAUAAUAAAGAAAUUCGGCAAACAAUACCGCGAAACCAUUAUUAAUUUCCAUAUUUGGACGAAUUUAAAAUAUUGCGAAAAAAGCCUUAAAAAUCUCCAUUUUAUACAAUUUUUAAAGCUGGUUUAGUCCUGUAACGAAAAAAAAGCGAAAAAAUUUGCAAAAGGUUUUAUUCCGCCGUAUAUAUUUAAUAAAAUAGGUGCGGAAAUACCUGUAAUCCAAGGCAAACCUGAGGAUUUGAAAUUCGAUUUUUUUUGGUUUUGUUACAAACGGUUACAAUUGGAUAAUUGUUCGUUUUGUAAUUAUUUUUUUUACCACGGUACGUGUUUAUUUUGUCCAUUUUUUUAUUUUUUUUUUAAUUUUUUUUUUUAAAAAAAAAAUUAAAAAAUUAAACAAAAUCAAAGCGAUAUUUAUUUAUAUACCAAAAUUUGGUAAUUAUAUAUAUCCGUUUUUUUACGCAGCCGGAUUAGCAUCCACGAUAUUAGAAAAUAAGAUUUACCCUACAAUUUAUUAAUAUAUAUUAAAGCAAAAAUAAUUAAAUAAUACGAAGACGGACCCCCGUUUUUUAAAACGAAAACAGACAGAUUUCGAUUUAGGGAUAAUUAAAACUGAGGCAAAUGGCAAUUUUUUAUUAUAUAAAAUUGUUUUAGAUAAAAAUUACCCAAUAGGUUAUUCCACCGCAAUAAUUAAACCCGUUCCAACAUUUUUAUAUUUUUUAGUAGCCCGAUUAACCAUUUUUUUUCCUCCUAUCGGUUAAUAGGUAAUAUUUGCUUCCCCAAUUUCGCAGCCAAAAUUAGCGUUUAUAUUAACCAAACGUUUUAAACCAAGGGUUUUAUUAACGUAUUACCGGAUCGAUAUUUCGAAAUUUUAUUAUAAUAAUAUACCGUAUUAAUUUUUUAUUCCACUAUACCGGGCGCAGGAUAUACCGAAUCCCAAUAAUUAUAAUUUUAACGACGCCAAUAUUCCCAAAUAUUAUUAUAUUAACUUUGUUUGGGAUAUUUAUUAGGAAUAAUUGCGAAAAUUCGAAAAUUUGCAACCUAAUUUUUAAGAUAUAUUGCGGUUAUUCGUUUUUGUUGGAGGUUGGGCUCCCGAAAUUCUUUUUACUGGAAUUGGUAAAUAAUGGGGCAGCAACGGCGAAUUAAAAUCUUUGGUUAAAAAAACACCUAUAUUAUAAAAAGUUGAAUUAAAUUUGAAAUUUUUAAAAUAGAAAACCUGCGUUUUAUUAACAGUGAAAGGCCAAAUAAUAUAUUUGGUGAACCCUAUCGUUUUUAAAUCCGUGGAAACGCAUAUAUUUAAUAAAGCCGAAUGGAAACGCCGAAUUAUCGACACCGUGUUUCGUAUAUUUCCACCAAAUUAUUAUAUAAAAUUUAUAAAAUAAACUGGGGAAACAAGUCGACGCUAUGGAAGCAACCAUAUUUAAUUAAUUUUUUAAUUAAUUAAUAAUAUUUAAUUUUACCCAAAUCGUUCGCGUUAUAAUACCCUGUUUUAACCGGGUUUUUUGCUAUUUUUUUGAAAAUAUUACCCCCAAAUACCCAAAACGUUUCGUCCGAGUUUACCGGGCUGCGUCUUUGUUCCGCGAUUCCGCAUAAAAGAUUUUUUUAACGAAAAUCGCGUUUUAGGUUACGACCUUUUUUGAAAAUAACCAAUUUGCCGUGGAAAUAAAUUUUCGGCAAAUUUCUUUAUUAAGGUCGAUAUAUAAAAAAUAUUUUUUUGUGGGUUUGGACGUUGGUAUUAAAAAUUUAAAUAUCCGGUGCGUUUAUAAAAACGCCAUUUUCGGCAAAGCCCUACUAUUAAAAACCAGGGUACGCCUUUUUAAUUGUAAAAAACACCAGUCGGUCGAAAAAGCCCUUUUUAAAUUCCGUUUUUUUACGGGGAUUUCGACGUUGGAAAAAUAUAUAUUUGUCGAAUCCGAAUUAUUUUUAACGACAAAUUUACGCCACGAAAAUAAAUUUAAAAAAAUUGGCGAACGUUUUUUUGGUUUAUUUAACAAAAUUUAUCCCAGCAAUUUUAGGAUUUUUUCAAUUUGGAACGAAAUUUAAUGCAAAUUAGGAUUCGUCUCCCAGGCCACCAAUUUUUUAAUUUGUAAAUAUUUGUUUUUUCGAUUUAAUUCGUUUUUUUCCGGCGGGAAACGAUAUUUUUUGGCAAUUGCAAAUAUUUAUUUUAUGGGGGUAUUGUGGGAAAAACAUUAAAAUAUAACGGUCAAUUUUCGCUUUUUUCGGCAGCGGAAUUAAUUUUUUCGAAUUUUCGCGAUUUACCCUGUUUAAAUAUAUUAAUUAAUUAUUUACUUUUCGCUAUAUUUUUAAAAUUUGGUAUAAUAAAUUUAAUACGGUUAAAAUAGGUUGCGGUAUUAUCCUAUUGGGAAAAGGUAAUUAACGUCGUUAAUUAAUAAUUACGUAAUUAUAAAUUUGCGCGGAUGGUUGUUUUAUACGCCCAAAACGAGAUUUAUUUUCGUUUGGGGGAUACCAAAAUAUAUAAUUUCGCCACAAAAUCGGGUAAAUUUUUUUUAAAAUAUGGCCGAUAUUACCAAUUUGUUAGCCAUAAAUCCAUUUGGUUGGACAUAUUAGGAAAUUAUACCCAAAAAGGCGGACGACCAAAAAUGGCCCCGAUAAUCGAUUAAAAUAUUUCCGCUAAUUAAAAAAAAUGGGGCGUGGAUAAAUUAAAUUUGGAAAUUAACCCGGGACUAAAUUUUUAAAUGCAUAAUUUAAUUUAUUUGCUGUAAAUAUUUUUCGAUACGUAAAAUUAACAGCGAAAAUUUAAAUUAAUUGUUUUUUUUCCACGAAUUACAAAAUAAAUAUUCGUAAUAUUAUAAUUGUAUUCCAUUUCCUCCCGAGGUCCUAUUAUAACUGGUAAAUUUAUUUAAUUUUAAUUUGACCCCCGUUAUUAAUACCGGCAAGGCCGAUAAUACCAAAUUAAUAUAUUUAACAAUUAAUAUAUAUAAACCCAAAUUGUUAAUGGGGUUGCAAUUUUCCAAAACAUUUUUAACAAAUUCGGCGAAAAAAAUAAUAGGAAAUCCAUAUAUUUCCUCCUAUACGCCCAUUAUUUUGCUAAUACGCUAUUUCCCAAAAAAUAUUAAACCGUUAAUUGGAUAUUUAUGGCUGGUAAAAAUAAUUUUAUCGAAAGCAAAUUUAAAUUUAUAAUAAUGGUUAGCAAUUGUUCGCGCGACCGUAAAAACGUUACAAUAUGUGGAAUUAUAACCGAAAAUUAAAAUCUUAAUAAAUUGUCGAGGAAUGGGUAGGGCGAUUAACGCGUGGUAUUGCAUUUGGGUUAUAAACCAAUUAAACGAUAUAGGUAUAUUUAGAAAAUUGGCAGGGGAAUUAAAAUGAAACCGUGUUUUGGUUCCAGGAUCUUCGAUUAUUUGAAAACGACCUGGCCAAUUGUAAAUAUGGACGGCACCGAUAAUAUUUUCGUUUAAAAACCGGUUAUUUAAAUAAAAUUUUAAAUAUACGUCGGUUAAUUUAAUUGCUAAAACAAAAUUGUUGCGCACCUGUUCGUAGAUUCGUGGAUCUACGUAAUGCAUCCGUGGUAGAUUUAUU